UACGGGGGGAUCAAGCGUUGUUCGGAUUUACUGGGCGUAAAGGGCGCGUAGGCGGCGUGACAAGUCACUUGUGAAAUCUCCGGGCUUAACUCGGAACGGUCAAGUGAUACUGUCGUGCUAGAGUACAGAAGGGGCAACUGGAAUUCUCGGUGUAGCGGUGAAAUGCGUAGAUAUCGAGAGGAACACCUGCGGCGAAGGCGGCGACCUGGUCCGAUACUGACGCUGAGGCGCGAAAGCGUGGGGAGCAAACAGG
rnacentral:rRNA from 1 species